GACGAUCGCUGGCGGCGUGCUUAACACAUGCCAGUCGAACGGAAAGGCCCUGCUUUUGUGGGGUGCUCGAGUGGCGAACGGGUGAGUAACACGUGAGUAACCUGCCCUUGACUUUGGGAUAACUUCAGGAAACUGGGGCUAAUACCGGAUAGGAGCUCCUGCUGCAUGGUGGGGGUUGGAAAGUUUCGGCGGUUGGGGAUGGACUCGCGGCUUAUCAGCUUGUUGGUGGGGUAGUGGCUUACCAAGGCUUUGACGGGUAGCCGGCCUGAGAGGGUGACCGGCCACAUUGGGACUGAGAUACGGCCCAGACUCCUACGGGAGGCAGCAGUGGGGAAUAUUGCACAAUGGGCGGAAGCCUGAUGCAGCAACGCCGCGUGCGGGAUGACGGCCUUCGGGUUGUAAACCGCUUUCGCCUGUGACGAAGCGUGAGUGACGGUAAUGGGUAAAGAAGCACCGGCUAACUACGUG
rnacentral:rRNA from 1 species